rnacentral:rRNA from 1 species
UACGUAGGUGGCAAGCGUUGUCCGGAUUUAUUGGGUUUAAAGGGUGCGUAGGCGGUCCUAUAAGUCAGUGCUGAAAUAUCCCGGCUUAACCGGGAGGGUGGCAUUGAUACUGCAGGACUUGAGUAAAGUUGAGGUAGGCGGAAUUGACGGUGUAGCGGUGAAAUGCUUAGAUAUCGUCAAGAACACCAAUAGUGUAGACAGCUUACUAAGCUUUAACUGACGCUGAGGCACGAAAGUGUGGGGAUCAAACAGG